UACGUAGGGUGCGAGCGUUGUCCGGAAUUAUUGGGCGUAAAGAGCUCGUAGGCGGUGUGUCACGUCGAUCGUGAAAACUUGGGGCUUAACUCUGAGCUUGCGGUCGAUACGGGCAUCACUGGAGUUCGGCAGGGGAGACUGGAAUUCCUGGUGUAGCGGUGAAAUGCGCAGAUAUCAGGAGGAACACCUAUAGCGAAGGCAGCUUGCUGGGACGUUACUGACGCUAAGGCGCGAAAGCGUGGGGAGCGAACAGG
rnacentral:rRNA from 1 species